UCUGCUUCACUGCCUGCUGAAUUCCAUUCACUGACAUUUCAUUGGAGCACUAAGAAUUCAGUGAAUCUCAGAUGACAGAGGAGCCUGGCGGGCCACAGUCCCACCAGGUGGGUCACAAAGAGUUGGACACGACUGAAGGCGACUUAGCACAGAUGAAAGGAAGGCUUUAAAGAAAUCACAUUUAACAUUAGUAGUGAUAAAAAUAGCAAGACAAGUGCCUUUCACAUGGAAGCAACUAUGCUGGCUUUCUCGUGCAUUUCAAGAACAAUGUUUAUGUCUUGCUAAACAGGAGAGAGGAAUACUGUAGAUACCCCGAACAACCCAAAAGCUCACUGAAUUUGAAGUGGAGAAGGAAGCAUUCCAUUUCUUUAUAAACUCAACCAUCAGAAGAGUCAACUAUUUUCUGAAACAUGAAGCUGGCAGCACAAACACACAUGAUCCUUUGCUCUUGGUUUUAAAAAUAAGACCUAUUGACAGCUGCCUCCUCCCACCGGACACUCAGAAUAGAUUAUAAGGUUUUCUACCUCAAAGUUUUCAUUCACGCCAUUGUCGGCUUGCCGUGUGAGAACAUCUUCAGAGCGUAGGUUCAGUAAGAGUCUUCACCCACAAUGCUAUCAGGCAGAGGCUACUGUCGACUUAGGCUGGCUGAAUGAGUCUUGGCUUUGAGUAGUAAGACGUUCCAAGAACACACAAAAUUAAGUGAAGAGAAACAGUACUCACGAGACUGGUUGGGGAUACGCAUGAGGUCUGGAAGAAUAUAAAUUACUAGGAUACAAGUGUUUGGAAUGGAUGCAAAGGAGUCUCUGUCAGUCUAGGAGAGCGCCAGCACACUGAGGCCCUACAGCAAUGCUGGAGUGCCUGGAUGAGGAUUGCUGACUCUGAUCAUCAGCAGAUUGCUUGCAAGAAUAAUGCUUAGCAUACUGUUAAGCUCAUGGUGCUGCUCAGAAAACAAGUCCACUGGGGUCUUCUGCCCAUGGAAUUUUCCAGGUGAGAAUACUGGAGUAGGUUGCCAUUUCUUACUUCAGGGGAUGGAACCCGCAUCUCUUGUAUCUCCUGCACUGGCAGGCGGGUUCUUUACCAAUCUACCACCUGGGAAAGCCAUAUUAUGAUGAUACAGAAUAAAUAUUAUAUCAUAUAUAUCUUUAAGUUGGAAGCAAAUCUCUAGGCUUUCCUGGUGAGCAGGUACAUUUUCAGAAAUAGCCAUCACAAUCUCAAAGAUAAAACUCACAAGCACCUGAAUAUUGGCAUCUCAGAGAUUAUGUUCCCACUAGGCAUAAAGGUUUUUUUUCUCAAGAAAUAAAUUUUGAUUCCAUGGUAAUCUGAAAAUUCUGGAUUUAGUUAGGGACACCUCACAUUUGAACCAUGGGCUCCUAUGGAAAUUACAUUUCAAAGUUAGUCCUAAUGUCAUGACAGCAGCUGGUACCUGGGUUCUAUAAUGAUGUCUACCCACUAAGGCCUGGGACUGAGGCCAACAAUUAAUUUCACAUACAAAAAAAAAAAAAAAUCACUGGAAAAGUUUCCCAUUGCCUUUA
rnacentral:lncRNA from 1 species